UGCCAGACUCCUACGGGAGGCAGCAGUGAGGAAUAUUGGUCAAUGGGCUUACGCCUGAACCAGCCAAGUCGCGUGAGGGAAGACUGCCCUAUGGGUUGUAAACCUCUUUUGUCAGGGAGCAAUUGGCGCUACGUGUAGCGUUAUCGAGAGUACCUGAAGAAAAAGCAUCGGCUAACUCCGUGCCAGCAGCCGCGGUAAUACGGAGGAUGCGAGCGUUAUCCGGAUUUAUUGGGUUUAAAGGGUGCGCAGGCGGAGGUGCAAGUCAGUUGUCAAAUUGCGGGGCUCAACCCCGUACUGCCGUUGAAACUGCAUCCCUUGAGUGCGCGAGAAGUAUGCGGAAUGCGUGGUGUAGCGGUGAAAUGCAUAGAUAUCACGCAGAACUCCGAUUGCGAAGGCAGCAUACCGGCGCGCAACUGACGCUCAUGCACGAAAGCGUGGGUAUCGAACAGGAUUAGAUACCCCCGUACAG
rnacentral:rRNA from 1 species